UGGAAAGUUCAUUGUUCGACACCAUGGAUCUCCAGGUGGGUCACGUUUUCAGAUACACCAACCUGGAGGACUCCAUGCUGUUGAGCUGUUCACAA
rfam:Myotis lucifugus cont2.16780, whole genome shotgun sequence.